UAUAGAGUUAACAUUCUGUUAGCAUUUUCCAGUUCAAAACAGUUAGAAUUCCAAUUCGUUAAUGACUCUGUUAGUAUGAACAGUUAGGUUAUAGAUUGUUACCAUGUAGAGUUUGGUUGCUGUUAUGAGAUGUGGAGUUGCUAUGGAAUAUACUUCAAAUGGAUUUGUGUUCUUGAGAUUGGAUUGUGCUAAUGAAUUAGGAUGGCUUGAGUUUUGUAAUUCUGUAAAUUUGGAUUGGAAUUGUAUUGUGAAUCUUGUAAUUGGAAUUGAAAUAUUGUAAUGUCAUAGUUUUGCUUUA